UACAGAGGUCCCAAGCGUUGUUCGGAUUCAUUGGGCGUAAAGGGUGCGUAGGCGGCGCGGUAAGUCGGGUGUGAAAUCUCGGGGCUUAACUCCGAAACUGCAUUCGGUACUGCCGUGCUUGAGGACUGGAGAGGAGACUGGAAUUUACGGUGUAGCGGUGAAAUGCGUAGAUAUCGUAAGGAAGACCAGUGGCGAAGGCGGGUCUCUGGACAGUUCCUGACGCUGAGGCACGAAGGUCAGGGGAGCAAACGGG
rnacentral:rRNA from 1 species